GGCAGGUCUGAAUGCAAUGGUGUUUACAACUAAUUGAUCACAACCAGUUACAGAUUUCUUUGUUCCUUCUCCACUCCCACUGCUUCACUUGACUAGCCUAAA
ensembl:misc_RNA Y_RNA Y RNA